rnacentral:ncRNA from 2 species
GCAGAGUAGCCGAGGCGCGUUAAGUGUUGCGAAACGGGACGUUGUUCGCAAACGAAAGGGGAUUCCCUGCGGUGCCGACGCGCGUCCGUUG